UUUCCGUAGGUGAACCUGCGGAAGGAUCAUUAUGGUAUAACCGAGCUGCGAGGGCUGUCGCUGACCCGAAAGGUCGUGCACGCCCGAGUGCCCUCACACACAUCCAUCUCACCCCUAUGUGCACCACCGCGUGGGUCCCCCUUUGGCUUGUUCGGAGGGGGGCUUACGUUGUCACACAAACUUUGUAUGCAGUGUAGAAUGUAUUUUUUGUUUUUGCGAUCACGCAAUCAAUACAACUUUCAACAACGGAUCUCUUGGCUCUC
rnacentral:misc_RNA from 1 species